UCUGCUUUAGAGUCACUCAGGGGGAACCACCCCUCAUGGGGUGCACGUCACCCUAGAGUUUGCAAAGCUCUUUCUCAUGCAUUCUACAGUUUGGCUCAACAACCAAUGGGGUAGGGAUUAUUUUCUCCAUUUUACAGGCCUCCAGCAGCUUGCAGAAGAAUGCACGUUCCAGGUUCAGUAUCCAAACCUGGAGGGUUGAGAUCUGCGUUUCCACGGCAACCGUAUCCUUAACAGCAUCCAAUAAGGACAUUAUUUGGCCGCAAGGUAGAGUGGAGAUCAUCAACUCCACUUUAAGAAUGUGGCUGUAUCCAGUGACCUUCUCCAAACCAUGGCAGUCUCUGUGCUGCCCACCAACCUGGAAGUAGAACCGUGGAAAUAGGGAUUGCCUUUCAAAGAUGAGUCAACUUCUCCCAUCACAGCUGAGGGUGGGAAAGUAACGAUCGUGCUCAUGCACACUCACACACACCAGAAAGCCUGCAAGCUUACCAGGGAACUGGGCCUGAGUACAAGAUUCCUACUUUCUCGUAACCUCUGCUAUAAUACCAUGGGAAUGGAUAAACCCAUGACUUUCAAAUGAUGCUCUAUGAACCUUGGGUUCUCUGGGACUGCCUCAGAGAUGUUGUGUGAUGAUGGGACACCUAGGGAAUCCCCAGCACCUCCUCCAACUCUAAGACAGUAGCUGUGCAGCUUCUAUCAGACCUCAUUUGAACUGUAAGGACCCUCCUGGCUCAAUGUCUGGUCUCACGAUUUCAUGUCAGAGAUGCUGAUGGACCUUCAUCACUUAACCUUCACCAUCCCCGGCCUCAUUCUGGGUAUCACUGUUGAGAAAUACGCGAUAUGGACUCUGCCCUCAGUCUCCUAAUGAAGAUAA